CCAAUAGCGUAUAUUAAAGUUGUUGCAGUUAAAAAGCUCGUAGUUGAAUUUCGGGGUUAGUAGGUUGGUCAUGCCUCCGGUAUGUACUGGUCUCACUGAUUCCUCCUUCCUGAUGAGCCGUAAUGCCAUUAAUUUGGGGUUGCGGGGAAUUUGGACUGUUACUUUGAAAAAAUUAGAGUGUUUAAAGCAAGCUAACGCUUGAAUACAUUAGCAUGGAAUACUGAAAUAGGACGGUCGAUCCUAUUUUGUUGGUUUCUAGGAUUGACGUAAUGAUUAAUAGGGAUAGUUGGGGGCAUUAGUAUUCAAUUGUCAGAGGUGAAAUUCUUGGAUUUAUUGAAGACUAACUACUGCGAAAGCAUUUGCCAAGGAUGUUUUCAUUAAUCAAGAAUGAAAGUUAGGGGAUCGAAGACGAUCAGAUACCGUCGUAGUCUUAACCAUAAACUAUGCCGACUAGGGAUCGGAUGAUGUUAAUUUUUUAAUGACUCAUUCGGCGCCUUACG
rnacentral:rRNA from 1 species